AUGUCAAUAGUUGACCACAUGGAAGAAGUCCAAGAAGCAACGGUUUCAGGUUCAUCAAAUGCCUUCAUUUCCAUCUAAGCAGGAAAAUUGUCGGUCUAAACGGUCAUUAGCAGCUGGAUUUGUGAAAAUGACUUAUUGAAUACACAUGAUGUCUAUUAGUUGUUGCUCUUUUUUGUGCUACAAGAAGCAUCUACCCCUGUUCUACCUUACAUGAGUGUUAAUUGACGUUUUCAUUUUAGGUAGUACGAAACACUCAUGUUUCGGAACAAGUUGUCCUUUAAUCUUAAACAAAUAUUGUAUUCUUUUAUGAUGCAAAAAAAGUUGUCAUUACGACAAUAAACCAAUUUGUUU
rnacentral:lncRNA from 1 species